rnacentral:tRNA from 1 species
GGUUCCAUAGUGUAGCGGUUAGCACUUCUGUUUUACACGCAGAAGGUCCUGGGUUCACUCCCCAGUAGAGCCA